GAUGAACGCUGGCGGCGUGCCUAAUACAUGCAAGUAGAACGCUGAAGGAGGAGCUUGCUCUUCUGGAUGAGUUGCGAACGGGUGAGUAACGCGUAGGUAACCUGCCUGGUAGCGGGGGAUAACUAUUGGAAACGAUAGCUAAUACCGCAUGACAACAGUUAUUGCAUGAUAACUGUUUAAAAGGGGCAACUGCUCCACUACCAGAUGGACCUGCGUUGUAUUAGCUAGUUGGUGAGGUAACGGCUCACCAAGGCGACGAUACAUAGCCGACCUGAGAGGGUGAUCGGCCACACUGGGACUGAGACACGGCCCAGACUCCUACGGGAGGCAGCAGUAGGGAAUCUUCGGCAAUGGACGGAAGUCUGACCGAGCAACGCCGCGUGAGUGAAGAAGGUUUUCGGAUCGUAAAGAUCUGUUGUAAGAGAAGAACGAGUGUGAGAGUUGAAAGUUCACACUGUGACGGUAUCUUAUCAGAAAGGAACGGCUAACUACGUG
rnacentral:rRNA from 1 species